rnacentral:rRNA from 1 species
GUAUACGGAGGGUGCAAGCGUUACUCGGAAUCACUGGGCGUAAAGGGCGCGUAGGCGGAUUAUCAAGUCUCUUGUGAAAUCCAACGGCUUAACCGUUGAACUGCUUGGGAAACUGGUAAUCUAGAGUGGGGGAGAGGCAGAUGGAAUUGGUGGUGUAGGGGUAAAAUCCGUAGAUAUCACCAAGAAUACCCAUUGCGAAGGCGAUCUGCUGGAACUUAACUGACGCUAAGGCGCGAAAGCGUGGGGAGCAAACAGGAUUAGAUACCCUGGUAGUCCACGCCCUAAACGAUGUAUGCUAGUUGUUGGGGUGCUAGUCAUCUCAGUAAUGCAGCUAACGCAUUAAGCAUACCGCCUGGGGAGUACGGUCGCAAGAUUAAAACUCAAAGGAAUAGACGGGGACCCGCACAAGCGGUGGAGCAUGUGGUUUAAUUCGAAGAUACGCGAAGAACCUUACCUGGGCUUGAUAUCCUAAGAACCUUAUAGAGAUAUGAGGGUGCUAGCUUGCUAGAACUUAGAGACAGGUGCUGCACGGCUGUCGUCAGCUCGUGUCGUGAGAUGUUGGGUUAAGUCCCGCAACGAGCGCAACCCACGUAUUUAGUUGCUAACACUUCGGGUGAGCACUCUAAAUAGACUGCCUUCGUAAGGAGGAGGAAGGUGUGGACGACGUCAAGUCAUCAUGGCCCUUAUGCCCAGGGCGACACACGUGCUACAAUGGCAUAUACAAUGAGACGCAAUACCGCGAGGUGGAGCAAAUCUAUAAAAUAUGUCCCAGUUCGGAUUGUUCUCUGCAACUCG